rnacentral:rRNA from 1 species
UGAGGAAUAUUGGUCAAUGGGCGCAAGCCUGAACCAGCAACGCCGCGUGGAGGAUGACGGCCUUCGGGUUGUAAACUCCUUUUGCAGGGGAAAAGGAAGGAUGGUACCCUGCGAAUAAGUCACGGCUAACUACGUGCCAGCAGCCGCGGUAAUACGUAGGUGACAAGCGUUAUCCGGAAUUAUUGGGCGUAAAGCGCACGCAAGCGGUUGGACAAGUCCGGCGUGAAAUCUCCCAGCUUAACUGGGAGCGGUCGCGGGAAACUGUUCGACUUGAGGCGAUGAGAGGGGUGCAGAAUUCCCGGUGUAGUGGUGGAAUGCGUAGAUAUCGGGAGGAAUACCAGUGGCGAAAGCGGCACCCUGGCGUCGUACUGACGCACAUGUGCGAAAGCGUGGGGAGCGAACGGG